rnacentral:rRNA from 1 species
GCACGGGUGAGUAACGCGUGGAUUAUCUACCUACUGGUACGGGACAACAGUUGGAAACGACUGCUAAUACCGUAUACGCUGGUAACGGGAAAGGGGGCCUCUUCUUGAAAGCUCUCGCCAGUAGAUGAGUCCGCGUUUCAUUAGCUAGACGGUGGGGUAACGGCCUACCGUGGCAACGAUGAAUAGCAGGCCUGANAGGGUGGCCUGCCACACUGGGACUGGAACACGGCCCAGACUCCUACGGGAGGCAGCACUGGGGAAUAUUGCGCAAUGGACGAAAGUCUGACGCAGCGACGCCGCGUGGAGGAUGAAGGUUUUCGGAUCGUAAACUCCUGUCAAGAGGGAAGAAACCUAUCAUGAAUAAUACUCAUGGUAAUNGACGGGCCUCUAGAGGAAGCACCGGCUAAUUCAGUGCCANCAGCCGCGGUAAUACUGAAGGUGCAAGCGUUAAUCGGAAUCACUGGNCGUAAA